AUGCCAACUAAUAUAUUUGGGUUCAGUUGUCUUAACAAAACGUUUGUUUGUUUUCAGGAUGACAUCUUCAUCCCUGAAAAUGUUUUCAUCCUGGAGGAGACUGCGCAGGAGGAAGAGGAAAGAACGGUUAAUACAGCAUGCCAAACUGACCCCUGGGUGCCAGAUUGUUCCUGUGCUGCGGUGGAGAAGAAGUCCACCGGUACCAUCACUAAAGAGCUCGGGGCCCAGCUAGAUUGCGCUGACGACCAUCAGUAUACAACCGAGUCCUGCCCCUAUACGCCACAGAUGGAGCUGACGGAGAGUGAGAUGAGUGAAGACCAGGACUCGCUGUAUGAACCUGAGAGCUCAGAAUCACAAUCAUCACAGUGCGAGCCAAGAUAUACUAUCGAUCACUUUGGGGUAGCGGGAUGGCGUUCCGAAAAUGGGAAAGGAGCGUGCCAUUCAACAGCGAAUUCAAAGAUACACCCAUCCAUAAAGGGAAUCGGAGUGGACUGCAGAUUACAUUUUUAUUUUUUUAAACGUUUCAAUGGAUGUGCAACCUUGUCCUAGUCCUGCUGUUUCAACUCUCUCUUUCAACCUAUCAAUUCUCAGUUAUGAAAAGCCAACUGACAUUUGCUCCUGAGGCAUUGAACUGUUGCACCCUCUAUAACCAUUGUGGUUAUUAUUUUGAUGUAAAAUGGGCUUUUGUAAAAAUAAAAAAAUAAAACAUUUUAUUGAUUGUCUGAGUGAUGGGACAUUUUAAUAGUAUCUGUAACAUAUUUUGGUGCGUAUUUAAUCUGCAUCUCAACUUCAUAAAGUGGCAAUCCGCAGUAGAAACAAUAACAAAGUGUCUCCCUGCUCCUCUUUCUGUAAAAAGCUGAGGGAUGGGUCUGGAGAAAUGUAAGCACUCUCAAAUGCAUAGACAGAGCUAUAGAUGCAAGGACUGACCAUCCAUCCAUGAUAUCAAAAUUGUAAUCCUGUUUCUAUGAUCUGUUUCCACUACCAUGUACCCAGUUCGCUUUGGAUAAAGGCGUCUGCUAAAUGGCAUAUAUUAUUAAAGUGUACUUUGACUCUGUCAACUAGCUACCCAGUGUAGUUACCAUUCCUUUCCAAUAGAUGGCAGCCAACGCUAGUUGAAGUCGCUACUUUAGCGACAGGGACACGGGAUUAGUGCGCACUGAAAGUUGUUUAUUCUUCAAAGCAAGUUUUCUGGUUACGCUUGAACCUGUUAUAGUGGACAAGCUAACAAGUACUAUUUUUACAUACGGUGCAGGCAUUAGGUCUAUGUCUUUAGGCUAGGCUAGAUUUACUAAAUGAACUGGGUUUAUUCAAUGCCUUUGCUUCUGGCUAUGCGCGCUUUAUGGAAGAAACGACACACGCAGGGAUGAGAUACCGUACACCUCGUCCAAUUCUCACUCCCCAUUAUUGGUUAGAAUGAGAUUAAAUGAAUCAUGAUGCUGUCUGCGAUUCGGACUCCGGUCGUUUAAUCAAACGUUAAAUGUGUUACCCAUGAUGAUGAUGAAAUGUGUUCAUCAUCAGCGCCAAACAGCGCUGAUGAUGAACAUCGUUAUAGGAUACUGAUUAUAUAUAUUGAGCACCUACCCACGACUGAUAUAAACCUUAAACAAUUUAUAAUCAAGCAACAUUUCGCCAAUUAUUUAACUGGCAUAUCGGCCGCUGACUGGCCGAGUAACCUAUUAUUUUGUAUUUGUUGUGUUCACAAUAAAAAUAAAAUAAUAAAAACAUAUAUUUUUU
ensembl:lncRNA